UUGAACGCUGGCGGCAGGCCUAACACAUGCAAGUCGAGCGGUAGCACAGAGAGCUUGCUCUCGGGUGACGAGCGGCGGACGGGUGAGUAAUGUCUGGGAAACUGCCUGAUGGAGGGGGAUAACUACUGGAAACGGUAGCUAAUACCGCAUAAUGUCGCAAGACCAAAGUGGGGGACCUUCGGGCCUCAUGCCAUCAGAUGUGCCCAGAUGGGAUUAGCUAGUAGGUGGGGUAACGGCUCACCUAGGCGACGAUCCCUAGCUGGUCUGAGAGGAUGACCAGCCACACUGGAACUGAGACACGGUCCAGACUCCUACGGGAGGCAGCAGUGGGGAAUAUUGCACAAUGGGCGCAAGCCUGAUGCAGCCAUGCCGCGUGUGUGAAGAAGGCCUUCGGGUUGUAAAGCACUUUCAGCGGGGAGGAAGGCGGUGAGGUUAAUAACCUCAUCGAUUGACGUUACCCGCAGAAGAAGCACCGGCUAACUCCGUGCCAGCAGCCGCGGUAAUACGGAGGGUGCAAGCGUUAAUCGGAAUUACUGGGCGUAAAGCGCACGCAGGCGGUCUGUCAAGUCGGAUGUGAAAUCCCCGGGCUCAACCUGGGAACUGCAUUCGAAACUGGCAGGCUAGAGUCUUGUAGAGGGGGGUAGAAUUCCAGGUGUAGCGGUGAAAUGCGUAGAGAUCUGGAGGAAUACCGGUGGCGAAGGCGGCCCCCUGGACAAAGACUGACGCUCAGGUGCGAAAGCGUGGGGAGCAAACAGGAUUAGAUACCCUGGUAGUCCACGCCGUAAACGAUGUCGAUUUGGAGGUUGUGCCCUUGAGGCGUGGCUUCCGGAGCUAACGCGUUAAAUCGACCGCCUGGGGAGUACGGCCGCAAGGUUAAAACUCAAAUGAAUUGACGGGGGCCCGCACAAGCGGUGGAGCAUGUGGUUUAAUUCGAUGCAACGCGAAGAACCUUACCUGGUCUUGACAUCCACAGAACUUUCCAGCGAUGGAUUGGUGCCUUCGGGAACUGUGAGACAGGUGCUGCAUGGCUGUCGUCAGCUCGUGUUGUGAAAUGUUGGGUUAAGUCCCGCAACGAGCGCAACCCUUAUCCUUUGUUGCCAGCGGUUAGGCCGGGAACUCAAAGGAGACUGCCAGUGAUAAACUGGAGGAAGGUGGGGAUGACGUCAAGUCAUCAUGGCCCUUACGACCAGGGCUACACACGUGCUACAAUGGCAUAUACAAAGAGAAGCGACCUCGCGAGAGCAAGCGGACCUCAUAAAGUAUGUCGUAGUCCGGAUUGGAGUCUGCAACUCGACUCCAUGAAGUCGGAAUCGCUAGUAAUCGUAGAUCAGAAUGCUACGGUGAAUACGUUCCCGGGCCUUGUACACACCGCCCGUCACACCAUGGGAGUGGGUUGCAAAAGAAGUAGGUAGCUUAACCUUCGGGAGGGCGCUUACCACUUUGUGAUUCAUGACUGGGGUG
rnacentral:rRNA from 1 species